rnacentral:lncRNA from 1 species
UGGGGUCCAGGGGCGUCCUCAUGUGUGCCCCCUAGGGAGCUCACGGAUGAGGCCCUCUGGGCGCCUGGUCCCCUCAGCACUGGUCAGGUGUGGCGUGUCCCCACCUCGGGGCAAGACGGCGCCACCUCCCUGCUUCCCUCGCGGAGGCUGCAGCUGCUUGUCCCCUCUGAAGAGACGCAGCUUGACCGACUUGAGGACCAACCGCAGGGCCACAGGGACACCACCCGUGUUGGCUUCCACAGGCUGUUUAAUGUGCUUUUCAGAUUUUAAGCCUUUACACUCCCCGGAGUGGCUGUGCGUGGCCUGAGGUCAGGAGCUGGACUCCCCUCUCCCCCAUGAAAGUGAGAGAUCCCAUUUUUCCAUGUUUCCCCCACAAAUGUUUCUGCAUCUCCAGUUCUGUCUCCGGCUGUUCCUGGACUCUCUCCUGGACACUGACCCGAGGGUUCAGCUCUAGGACAAACCAAACCCCACUGUCGAUGGCAGAGGCUGGCCAGGGAGCACCGGCCUUCUCUGGCUCCACUCCUCGGGCCUCCGCAGCUGUUCCGUGAUC